rnacentral:rRNA from 1 species
UACGUAGGGUGCAAGCGUUGCCCGGAUUUAUUGGGCGUAAAGGGCGCGUAGGCGGCUCUGCACGUUCGUUGUGAAAUCGCCCGGCUCAACUGGGCGGGGUCAGCGGAUACGGCAGAGCUUGAGCAAGCUAGGGGGCAAUGGAAUUCCCGGUGUAGUGGUGGAAUGCGUAGAUAUCGGGAGGAACACCAGUGGCGAAAGCGGCGCACUGGACCACAACUGACGCUGAGGCGCGAAAGCUAGGGGAGCAAACAGG